CUAUGCGCCUUGCCAGCCCGCUCAGGUGUGCCAGCCGCCGCGGUAAUACGUAGGGGCGAGCGUUAUCCGGAUUCACUGGGUGUAAAGGGAGCGUAGACGGCCAUGCAAGCCAGGGGUGAAAGCCCGGGCCAACCCCGGGACUGCCCUUGGAACUGCAUGGCUGGAGUGCGGGAGGGGCAGGCGGAAUUCCUGGUGUAGCGGUGAAAUGCGUAGAUAUCAGGAGGAACACCGGCGGCGAAGGCGGCCUGCUGGACCGCGACUGACGUUGAGGCUCGAAAGCGUGGGGAGCGAACAGG
rnacentral:rRNA from 1 species